rnacentral:rRNA from 1 species
CACGUGGGCAACCUGCCCUGCAGAUUGGGAUAACUCCGGGAAACCGGGGCUAAUACCGAAUAACAAAAAGAAUCUCCUGAUUCUUUUUUGAAAGGCGGCUUUUAGCUGUCACUGCAGGAUGGGCCCGCGGCGCAUUAGCUAGUUGGUGAGGUAACGGCUCACCAAGGCAACGAUGCGUAGCCGACCUGAGAGGGUGAUCGGCCACACUGGGACUGAGACACGGCCCAGACUCCUACGGGAGGCAGCAGUAGGGAAUCUUCCGCAAUGGACGAAAGUCUGACGGAGCAACGCCGCGUGAGUGAAGAAGGUUUUCGGAUCGUAAAGCUCUGUUGUCAGGGAAGAACAAGUACCAUAGUAACUGAUGGUACCUUGACGGUACCUGACCAGAAAGCCACGGCUAACUACGUGCCAGCAGCCGCGGUAAUACGUAGGUGGCAAGCGUUGUCCGGAAUUAUUGGGCGUAAAGCGCGCGCAGGUGGUUCCAAAAGUCUGAUGUGAAAGCCCCCGGCUCAACCGGGGAGGGUCAUUGGAAACUGGGGAACUUGAGUGCAGGAGAGGAA